UCCUCUUAAAAUCUUUGGGUAUUAAUAUAUACUUUUGAGGUGCCAAUAUGGACUCUUUAGGUACAAUUGUGUAAGGUACCACCCCAGUGACAGUUGGUGUACCUUUAUUUCUGAGAGUGUAUUAUAGAAGUUAAUAAUUAAUGACUGUGUUUCUUUAAACAAGCUCUUAAAUGAUGAUUCAUGCUUUAAUAUGGAAAUCAUUCAUAAAAUUACUUUGCCUUUCCAGUAAUAUUUAUUUUCAUAAAUAUUGUAAUAAAGGAGAUGUUCAAUCCUUUUGUACCUUUUAUAUGGGAACACUUGUGUACCUUCAUUUGAGUUGUACCAUAAAAGGUACAGAUCAGUAUCAUAAGAGGUCUUUUCUGUACCAUAUAAGGUACAUCUUUUAUAAAGGUGCAAAACUGUUCCUCUAGGAACAUUAUUUGUACCACCCUGUACCUUUUUUUCUGAGAGUGUAUAAUACAAUAUACACAAAGUUCACAAACACUUUUAGGAUUUGCAUGUAGCAUGUAAAUAUUUUGUUUGCAUAUGCUGUACACUGUUGUUUACCCCAAAUACAGUAUGACCACUAUCUUUACAUUCGUAAAAUUCAUUCCAUUGCUGAAAACACCAAACUAGAUUAGCUUUAAUAAUGACAUUAGGUGAGUUAUGGUGAGUGGAUAUUAUUGAUUCUAACUGUUAUGCCUUUAAAUGUUACUAUGAAUGAUGACAAAAUGCCUUUUGAGUAACUUGUGCUUCAUGCUAAUUGCUUUGCUUAGCCCUUUACAGUUUGAUUUGUUACAGUAUGUUUGUUUUAUACUGUGUAUGGGUCAAAUUAGAAAAUGACUUUAUAUACCAAAAGAUCUUGUCUGCCAAGAAUCAUUAAAUAAAGACUCUAAUAAAAGAUUACGAGUUUACAGUGCAGCCCGCAAAUGGUGAUUAAUUGUCAUGUAUAAUCUUUAUACUUUGCUGCUGUCUUAAAAACCACACAGUUUUAUCAGUUAGACAGUUUUUAGCAUUUAAAAUCUUAUACAAUUUAUAAUGAUCACUUAUUGUUUUAUUUUAACAAUUGAAUGUUGUAAGUGUGUUGUAUCAAUUUUAAAUAAAUAUGUUAUUCUGAA